rnacentral:rRNA from 1 species
CCUACGGGAGACAGCAGUGGGGAAUAUUGGACAAUGGGGGGAACCCUGAUCCAGCGACGCCGCGUGAGUGAAGAAGUAUUUCGGUAUGUAAAGCCCUAUCAGCAGGGGAGAAAGAAGACGGUACCUGACUAAUAAGCCCCGGCUAACUACGUUCCAGCAGCCGCGGUAAUACGGAGGGGGCGAGCGUUAUCCGGAUUCACUGGGUGUAACGGGAGCGUAGACGGCCGUGCAAGCCAGGAGUGAAAGCCCGGGGCCCAACCCCGGGACUGCUCUUGGAACUGUGCGGCUGGAGUGCGGGAGGGGCAGGCGGAAUUCCUGGUGUAGCGGUGAAAUGCGUAGAUAUCAGGAGGAACACCGGCGGCGAAGGCGGCCUGCUGGACCGCGACUGACGUUGAGGCUCGAAAGCGUGGGGAGCGAACAGGAUUAGAUACCCUGGUAGUC